GACGAACCGUGCGAACGUUAUUCGGAAUCACUGGGCUUAAAGCGCGUGUAGGCGGGACGGCACGUCGGUCGCUGAAAGCCCCCGGCUCAACCGGGGAACGGGCGCCGAUACGACCGCCCUGGAGGGACGUAGGGGGCCUGGAACUUCCGGUGGAGCGGUGAAAUGCGUUGAGAUCGGAAGGAACGCCCGUGGCGAAAGCGAGGUCCUGGACGUUUUCUGACGCUGAGACGCGAAAGCCAGGGGAGCGAACGGG
rnacentral:rRNA from 1 species